rnacentral:lncRNA from 1 species
AAAAGAUGAGUGAAGAGAUGAGGACUAGUAUAUUUUCCUUUCCAUUUUCAUUUACAGGUAUAGCCCCUGAAGAUGGAGGUGGGUUUCUCCUGUGGUUCAAGUGCUAACCUAGGACUCAGAAGAGAAGUGUUCAAUGUCCUGCUGUGCUACAGACUUCUGGAAGAAGAAGUGUGAUAUUUCAUUUCACCACCUCUGACAAAGGCAUUAUUUCAUCCCUAUUCUAGGGAUUUUAUUCAGAUAACCUCUUACCUCUGAAAGAAUGAAAGAGACAGAAGCAUUAUAUGUGCAUUACAGAAAAUGUUUUCACCAGCCUCCUCAACAAAUUGUUUAGACAUUGUAAAAUGCUGGUCCUGCUUCCAAGUGAGACUGCUCUUUAACAUGCCUAGAUUCCUUCUCCUUCAAUUGCUUUAGCUCUUUUCACCUAUAAAACUAUAAUAGUCCAAUUCAUAAUGUUUUUUUCUGAGUUUCAGAAAAAGACCUCUUUACAUAUACCACUGGCCAAACUGUAAACCUUUCACU